rnacentral:rRNA from 1 species
AUGAAUAAACGCCUUAACAUCGCCUCGUGGAAUGUUCGGGGUCUUGGACGUCCGAACAAAUGCGUUGAUGUAAAAAAAGCUUUACAAUCUGCCCAAGGUUCGAUCCUUUGCCUUCAAGAAACUAAGCUGCAAGAUAUUCCUCCUUUUAAGGUUGUCUCCUUCCUGCCGAUCGGCCUUAGAAACUUUCAUUUCCUCCCGUCGGUUGGGGCAUCCGGGGGGCUGCUAAUCGCUUGGGACGACGCUAAUCUAGAGUGCACUAACGUUCAUCUAGACCGGUUCUUCAUCACGUGUUGGUUCUCCUUCCGGGCAUCUGACGUCUCCUUCGCUAUUACCAACGUCUAUGGGCCGUGCGAUCUAUCCCUUAAACAUGAAUUCUUGGACCCCCUAAUCCUUGCGUCGUCUACGAUUACUUGCCCCUGGUUGGUCUUCGGGGAUUUCAACCUUAUUCUUCGCCCAAGGGACAAAUCUUCCAACCACUUUAACACUAACGAGGCUAGGUUAUUUGCUUCGGCCAUUAACUCCAUGCAGCUCCAAGAAAUCCCGCUCCUAGACCGCCUCUACACGUGGUCUAACCAACAAGACAACCCUACUCUAGUCCGGCUGGAUAGGGCUUUCGUUAGCAUGGCAUGGUCAUCGGUGUUCCCGGACUCCACGCUCUCCUCUAUGACAAGGACUACCUCGGAUCACGUCCCAAUUUUGUUA